rnacentral:lncRNA from 1 species
CUAAAACGAGUUUUUUGGCCAUAAGGAGCGUUUUUCUUGGAUCAAUGACAAAUGGCCAAUCGAUGGACGUUGGAUCUUUAUCUUUCAUAUAAAUAGGAUGCCUCAGAGUUUUAGGGUUAGCUUUUAGUAUUCUGAGGGUUUUUUGGCUGAGUGUCGUUCUCUCUUCUUUGUUUCUGAUCUUGAUUUUUCCUCUGAAAUACUGAGUGUUAUUUUGAGAGAAUCUGUAAAGAAACUUUUACGUGAGUUUCUAUUAAGGGAAGAUUGAGUUGUUUCUCUGUGAUCUAGAACUGAGUGUUCUGUAAAUUGUACUUUGCCUAUUUGUGACCGAUUUUUAGUGGAUUCGAGCUUAAUCAUUUAUGGAUGCUCAACGGGGGACUAAGCGUUAGAAGUGGUCGCUGAACUUCCGGGACCUUUGGCCGUAUUUUCUGAUUUGUUUUGAGAAAAUCUUGAUUUCUGCGUUGAGUAUUUUUUGGUAUAAAUUCGAUUCUGAAACUACAAUGGUAUUAGAGCUUGAAAUUUUUUGCUUAAAUUCAGUUUUCUCAAAACCUAAUUUCUGAAACUUGAAUCUCAAAGGGGGAUUCUCUUGGCCUAAAGAAAAUGGGCAGAUCUGAAAAAAAUUUGCCAACAUUCGAAAAAAAAAUUUGGGUUGCCUUUGUUAUUAUUUUUAUAUAUCUUCUUGGAGUUCUUUCUUCUUUCAUCCUACAACAUUUUUGUUGGUAGCUUUUAAAAGAAAAGGAGUCUGGUUCGACUUGAUCUACUCUGUAUUUUCCUUUGUCUAGGUUUCCUUAAGAGAACCCUAGAAUCUGAGGGAAUCCAGGGAUCUUUCGAUUCAAGAAACCAGAAUUUUCGAUUUUUUAAUUCUUAUUAGUUUAAUACUGUGUGUAUUUUUAUAACUUGAAUUCAUAUUCUCGUUUUUUUUAAAACUAUUGGAUGAUAUUAACGGUGUGAUAUUUUUUUUUUUUUUGGCUUCGUGUUCAAUUAAGAAAUAUCUCAUCACAUGUACAUGCUCUUGUGAAGGUAUACAUGUUGAGAACUUUCCUUCUGCUUACUUAGUGUAAGUAUAUUUUUUGGCCCUACAAUAUUUCUGCAUUGUAUGCUAGUUGGGAUCCUUGUUGUUAGAUCUUUCUACAUCAUGUUUGACAUAUACUGUAUUGACUUGCGUGACAAAUUAUUGUACAUAUCACACUUGAGCACAAUUUGGAUAUUGUUGCUUGCUAUGAAUUCAAAAGUAGAUAUUCAGAUUUAGGAUGGCAAAGGAGACUUUAGUCUCUGACGCCAGAAAAUUAAAGCCUUACUGUUACAAUUAAAAUGUGUUAAAGCUGUUGAUGAAUAUUGGCCUGAAAACCUACCUAAAAAUAGAAAAAUUGAACAAGAUGAGCUAGCUUGGAGUACUACGUUCUUACACUUAUCUGACUCUGUGAUUAGAAAAGUAGGAAAAACUAAGACUGCUGCAGAAUUAUGGACAGCCUUAGAAAAACAGUACCUAACUAAGACUACCAAAUAAAUGUUUUCUAUGGGGGCAAUUCUUUAGUUUUAAGUUUGAUCACAAUCUUGAUACAGAAGAAAACAUGAAUAGAUUUAAUAAGAUCACACAAGAUCUUAUAAAUUGUGAAGAAAGGAUCUCAAAUGAGCAAAAGGUAGUAGGCCUGCUAAAAGCCUUAGGGGACAGAAAUGCCUUGGUAUCUGGUAGGAGUAACUUGACAGUUGAAAUUAUCCAUAGCUCUCUUCUGAAUAAGGAGCAAGAAUUGAAAUCUGAACAUAAGGAGGUAUUUUAUGUUGAAAAUGCCGCUACAAAUCAGAAAUCUCAAACUAAUGGUGUUAGUAACUUUAGUCAAUCUAAUCACUACAAGGAUAGAAAUUUUGUAAAAAGAAAAUGGGUCAAUAAUAGUAAAGGAAAGGAUAAGAAAUUUAAUAAGACCAAGACAAAAAACAAAAAGUGCUAUUAUUGUAGGAAGUUAGGUCAUUUUAUCAAAGAUUGCUUCAAGAAAGCCAUUGACCAGAAAAAUAAUCUCAAUUUUGAGAUUGGGUCAUCGUCCAUGGCUAUCCCUUGUAAAGAAGCAAGAGCCAACAUUGGGGUUGCUUAUGUAUCUGUUACUGAAAGAACUUAUCAGAACUGGGUUUUGGAUUCAGGUUAUUAUUUUCAUAGGACCCCCAAUAAAGGUUGGUUCUCUAACUUCUCUGACCUUAAUGAAGGUUUUGUAAAAUUUGGUAAUAAUGAAUCAUGCCAAAUUAGAGGCAUAGGCAAUAUCCUUCUGAAAUUAAAAUAUGGCCAUUACUUAAUGCUGAAACAUACAAGAUAUGUACCAGCACUAAGUAGGAAUUUAAUCUCUCUAUGUGUUCUUGAUGAUUAGAAUUAUUAUGUUGAAAUCAAGAAUGGUUUUAAUCAAAGAUCAAAAGCCCAUUAUUAGUGCCCCAAAAAUUAAUGGAAUCUAUUUUAUUGACACCGAACCUAAACCAAAGAAUAAUCUUGUGACUCUUGUUGCACAUUCUGUUAAGUCAGAACUCUGGCACAAGAGACUUGGCCAUCUUGGUGAAAAGGGUUUAAAAUCUCUUUCUCAUCAAGGGGCAUUUGAAAAGGACCAUGUUCAAAAACUAACUUUUUGUGAAUAUUGUAUUUUCGAGAAACAAGUAAGGUUGCCUUUUAGCGUAGGUAUACACAAGUCUCAAAAUAUUUUGGAAUAUAUACACAGUGACUUGUGGGGUCCUGCACCAGUGUCUACAGUGUCUGGGUAUAGAUAUUACCUAUUAAUCAUAGAUGAUUAUUCCAGGAAGUCCUAGAUUUUCUUGCUUAAAUCAAAAUCCGAUACUUUUGUAAUAUUUAAACAAUGGUGUACAUUAAUUGAAAACUAAACAAGCAAGAAGAUUAAGAAUCUUAGGACUGAUAAUGGGCUGGAAUUUUGCAGUACAGAAUUUGAUCAAUACUGCAGCAAUCAAGGCAUAUUGAGACAAAAAACUGUUACCUAUACACCUCAGAAAAAUGGGGUUGUUGAGAGACUAAAUAGAACUAAUCUUAAGAGGACCAGGUGUAUGCUGAUUAGUUCUAGCAUGCCUAAAAUAUUUUGGGGGAAAGUUGUAAAGACAGCCUAUUACUUAUUGAAUAAAUGACCCUGUAGUUCCUUAAAUAAUAGAAUCCCUGAACAGAUCUGGUCUGGUUCUAUGCCUGACUACUCCUACCUCAGAACUUUUGGUUUUGCUGCAUAUGCACAUCAUAAUGACUCAAAAUUGGAUCCUAGGUCAAAAAAGGGUGUCUUCUUAGGAUAUGGAGGGAGAGUUAAAGGCUAUAGACUUUGGUUAAGGGAUACUAGAGGUUAUAAGGUGAUAAUAAGUAUGUCUGUGAUUUUCAAUGAGGAUGAGUUUCCAUGUCUUAGUGACAAAACCCAUGAAAACAUAAAGGAUGAUGAUUUUAUUAUCACAGAAAUUGAGUUGAACAAAGAAAAUAUUGAUAGGUAGACUUGAUUUGAGGUGGAGCGGCCUCAAACAGAGCUUAAUAACAAUUUAGAUGUUGAAAUUCUGAAUGAUAAUCAAGAAUUAAGCCCAGCACAUGAGCUGCAAAAUUAUCAGCUUGCAAGAAAUAGGGAAAGGAGGGAAAUAAGACCUCCUUCCAGAUGUCAAUAUACAGAUUAUGUAUCUGCUGAAAUAUAUUUUAAGCCCUCUGAUCUUGAGCCCACCUCCUAUGAGAAAGCAAUAUCUUCAAAAGAGUCAUCAAAAUGGAUAGAAGCCAUGGAAGAUGAAAUAAACUCCUUGUAUAAAAAUAAAACUUGGGAAUUGGUUAAGAAACCUGAAGAAUGUAAACUAGUUAACUGUAAUUGAGUGUAUAAGAUUAAAAAGGGGGAUUCAAAUAUAUCUAAUAAAAGAUAUAAGGCAAGGCUUGUAGCUAAAGGCUUCACACAAAGAGAAUGGAUAGACUUUACUGAAAUUUUCUCACCUGUAGUUAAAUACACCUCUAUUAGAAUUCUCCUUGCCAUUGUUACCCAGUUUGAUAUGGAACUGGAGCAACUUGAUGUAAAGACUGUCUUCUUGUAUGGUUCUUUAGAUGAAACCAAAUAUAAGACACAGCCUAAAGGGUUUGGGGUAAAAAAUAAUGGCAAUCUAGUGUGUCUCCUAAAUAAAUUACUAUAUGGCUUAAAACAUACUCCUAGCCAAUGGUAUAAGAGAUGCGAUUCUUUUAUACAAGGCCUAGAGUUCAAGAAAUCAGACUUUGAUCUUUGUUUUUAUUUUAAGAGGAAUAGUGAUUCUGAAUUCUUUUACCUUCUUUUAUAUGUUGAUGAUAUGUUGUUGGCUGGUCACAAUUCUGUUACUCUUAAUUCCAUAAAAGAAAAUUUGAAAUUGGAAUUUGAAAGGUAGGAUCUGGGCCUUGCAAGAAAGAUUUUAGGCAUGGAAAUUAUAAGAGAUUAAAUAUUUAUGGAAAAAUAUUUUUAACUCAGAAAUCUUACAUUGAAAAAGUGGUUAAAAGAUUUUUUCUUGAGAAUGCCAAGCCUAUUAGUUUACCUUUGUCUGCUUGCAUGAAAUUAUCUGUUGAGCAAUCACCUAACACAGAAGAACAAUUUAAAAAAUGGUAAAUGUGCCCUAUGCUAAUGUUGUUGGAUCAGUUAUAUAUGUAAUGGUAUGUACUAGACCUGAUAUAGCAUAUGUUGUAAGUGUAUUAAGUAGAUUCAUGAGUAAUCUAGGUGAGUUUCAUUGGAAAUACAUGAAAAACCUGAUUCAAUAUCUGAAAGGCACAUGUAAUCUAAGACUUAUGUUUGAAACAAGUAAAGAUUGUUUUAAACUAAAAGGUUAUGUUGACUCAGAUUUUGCUGCAAACCUAGAUAAUAGAAAGUCUACUUCUGCAUAUUUUUAUGUCAUAAACAAUACUUCCAUUAGCUGGAAGUCACAACUUUAGAAAAUAGUUGCCUUAUCCUCUACUGAGAUAGAAUAUAUGGCUGCCACUAAAGCUGUUAAAGAGGGACUGUAGCUGAAAGGACAGUUAAAUGAAUUAGGUCUUAUAGAAUGUUAGGUAGAGUUAUGUUCUGAUAAUCAAAGUACUAUUUUCUUAAUUAAAAAUCCAAAUUUUCAUGAUAGGUCAAAGCACAUUGUGUUAAAUUUCAUUUCAUUAGAGAUAUAAUUGAUAAAGGGGGUAUUAAACUGAUUUAUAUACCCACUAUGGUCAAUCCUACUGAUGUUAGGAUAAAGGUAAUACCACUUUGUAAGUUUUCACAUUGUUUGAGAUUAUUAAAUCUCGAAACUUGCUAACAAUUUUUCUGUAAACAAGUGAUCAGAGCAAAUGAAAUAAAAGACUAAGUUAGAAUCCACGUAGAUGCAGGCACAAAAUACAGCAAAGGUGGAGAUUGUAAGUUUCUGUGUUGCUGCAUUUUGUGAUGUGAGCCCAUUUUCUCAAGGCUGUUGAAUUGAGCAUUUUCUGGCCAAAAGGAGCAUUUUUCUUGGAUCAAUGACAAGUGGAAAAUCGGUGGACAUUGGAUCUUUAUCUUUCAUAUAAAGAGGAAGCCUCAGAUUUUUAGGGUUAGCUUUUAGUAUUCUGAGGGUUUUCUAGCUGCGUGCCGUUUUCUCUUCUUCGUUUCUGAUCUUGAGUUUUUCUCUGAAAUACUGAGUGUUAUUUUGAGAGAAUCUGUAAAGAAACUCUUACGUGAGUUUCUAUUAAGAGAAGAUUAAGUUGUUUCUCUGUGAUCUGGAACUGAUUGUUCUGUAAAUUGUACUUUGCCUAUUUGUGGCCGAUUUUUAGUGGAUUCGAACUUAAUCCUUUAUGGAUGCUCAACGGGGGACUAAGCAUUAGAAGCGAUCACUGAACCUUUGGGGCCUUUAAUCGAAAAAUCUCUCGUGUUCUUAUUUUCUGAUUUGUUUUGAGAAAAUCUUGAUAUAUGCAUUGAGUAUUUUUUGGUAUAAAUUCGAUUCUGGAACUACAUGCAUACUAUGGUAAUUGAUGUACCAAAGAAGCAACUGAGUAAUUACAUUAUUUCAACACUCAAACAAUAAAAUAACAUGAAUGAGAUCGUAAGCACCAUAAUAAAUUCACAUUCAUCAAACUACUACUACUACCAGCAUUUUAUUCUCUCACUCAAGAACCUCAUAAACAAUGGAAAUUCACGAACCCUUUAGUAACCAGUCCGACAUUUCUUUAUUCCUGACAAAGCACGUGGUCUUCAGCAAGGCCAACGACACCAAUCUAGUGUUCUCGCUGGUGUUGAUCAACGUGUUGAUCCCAAAGGCGACGCAAAGAUUGAGAUUAAUAACGUUGUAUGAAAUAUGUAAUAAGAUCACAAAGAUGAAACAAGAUUUUAAGUAAAGAAAUCAAAUAGAGUUAAGCAGAGGAAACAAUAUUUUAUUAUAACAUAUAGAGAGAAAAUUACAACACAUCAAUUUUGGGUUGAACUAAACUGAAAGAAUAGACCACUAUUUAUGAGUACAUACCAUACCAUAAAGAUGGAAAUAACAUAUUUUCAAUAAAAUCACGUGAAAAAUAAGGAAAUAAUAUUUUCCACUUGAAAAUAAGGAAACAAUUUUUUUCUUAAUCUGGGUAAGAAACCUAACAAUCUCUAUCUUGACCCAAAUUUCAGUGCAACGAAUGAAGCUCCAAAAUUUCUCCACUGAAAAAAUAUGUACAACUGCAUCAAAUUAACCGAACUCUUCAAAAGAACAACCAAAACUCUCCAUCACAAAAAAAUCUUCCUCUACCCAAAAUUCUGCCAAGUAAUUACUGCUGACCAAAUGGGUAGAAGCACACCCUAUAGCAGAAACCACACCAAGUGCCUAAUCAGAAGGCUCCUUGCCAGAACUGUAACCUUCAACAAUCCCAAAAGCAUUGCAGACAUCACUGAUACCACUGUACUUGCGCUUCAUGAGUCCAACCCUAACAACUGAACACGAUAUAUCCGCUAAAACUGAUGGUAAAUCAGAAUCACCAAUGCUCCUCUAAGCAAUGUUCUGAACUGACCCACGACCCGUUACAAGAGGUGCUAUAUAAAUUGAAUAUCUAUCACAGUACUGAACUUGUCUAAAUGUCUCUUAAUUGGAUAUGUGCUUCCUUGCAAGAUGUACAAUUGAGACUUCUUUCGUCCUUCCAGUACAACUUGGACACCCCUUCGGACCUUCAAGACUCCACCUCCACUAGAGAAUUUAUACCCUUUUGAAUCCAGGGUACUCAGCGAGAUAAGAUUCUUUUUCAAGUUUGGAACAUGUCAAACCUGAUCAAUUAUUCUGACCGUCCUAUCCUGCAAUCUUAAUCUGACUUGACCGAUUUCUACAACACGGCAAGACUGGUUGUUUUCCAUCACAACUCCACCUUGCUUGAUAGCUUCUUAUGUCUGAAAAAAUUCUGAUUGAAACACAUAUGAUGCGAACAUGCCUGAUCGAGAAUCCACUCAUUGUCAGGUUUAGACUCCACGUCAGAUACCACGAUUAACAUCAUAUCACCACCAUCCGAAAAACCCUUGGUAGCAUUAGUCUCGUUCGAAUUGCAUGAUUGGCCCCUAUGAUUUGCAACUAAAUUACCUUUAUCCUACAACUUAUCAUAAUCUUUCUUAUUGUGUCCUUUCCUCAUGCAGUAGAAGCAGUACAAAUAGCCUUUUCAUUUGCAUAUUAAUGUAGCGUUGAAUCAUAAUAGGGACGCACCAAAUAGGCGCCUUGUCACAGGGCAUGUCACGGCCCCUGUCACAGUAGCAGCCCUCUGGUUCUGAAGGCUGAUGAGGCAACUGAAGCAAUGAAUCUGUGGGUUAAAAAGAAAACAAGUGGUCUUAUCAAAGAAAUUCUACUGCCUAAUGCUGUUGAUGUUUCAAUAAAACUCAUCAUUGCAAAUGAUGUGUAUUUCAAAUGAGCCUGGAACGAGAAGUUUGACGCGUCAAAGAUAAUGGAUGAUGAAUUCUUCCUCUUAGAUGGGAGCUCGGUGCAAGUACCUCUCAUGACCAACGAAGAGGAUCAAUAUAUAUAUAUAUAUAUGCCUUCGAUGGUUUUAAAGUUUUUAGGCUUCCAUACAAACAAGGCGAAGACAAACAAAAGUUCUCUAUUUAUUUCUUACUUCCUAUGCCAAAGAUGGAUUGCCAGCUUUAGUUGAGAAAUUCAGCUCUAAGUUCGGAUUCUUUGAGAAUCAUGCCCCAUAUAAACAAGUGGAAGUGGGUGACCUCUGUAUUCCAAAAUUCAAAAUAUUGUUUGGUUUUGAAGCUUCUGAUGUUUAGGGUUACCUUGUUCUGGCAAUGAACUCAUUGAGAUGGUGGAUUCUUCCAUUAGUGAGAACAUUUAUGUUUCUCGAGAAUUUUCCAUAAAUUGUUGAUUGAGGCAAACAAGGAAGGCAUAAAAGCUGCAGCUGCUGAACUGUUCAAUAGUUUACUGUUCGUGGAUAAGAAAGAUUUUGUGGCUGACCAUGCAUUAUUGUUUUUUGUUAGAGAAUAUAUGUGUGGGAUAGUGCUCUUUAUCAGGUAGAUUCUUAAUCUCUUAUCAGGCUAAGUAAAGCAACUGCAUUUUGUGAAGGCUUGCAAAAAC